rnacentral:tRNA from 1 species
UGCCAGUGGCAGAUCCUCGUACAGCCUACAAUCUCUCCGGAAUGGCGAUCUCUAACAGCAAAGGCAAGCGAUUCUCC